UUUUAAGCGCUGAUUGGGUGCUCCCUGCAAUGCGUCAUGUCCUGUGUUUCCCCGGGGUGUUUUUAACGAUAGCGACAGUGUGUCGUUUGUCCAGCGUGCUGGUGCCCUUCUACAUGUAGUGGUACAUGACUGUGUAACCUCAGUUGGCCGCUGGUUGAUCUGCUGUGGGUUAAGCUAUGCCAUAAAACUGUUAUUUGUCUGGGGUGAUACCACUAUUCGGGUUCUCCCUCUUGUUCUACGUCCUGUCCCUCGUGAGUGUUUGAUUCUCGUGCUGCUGAGUAGCAUCGCGGUAGCACCGACCUUAUCCUCUCUGCUGUAUGCUGGACUGUACACUGUCUGGUUUCUAAGUUUCAGGGUUGAUUUUAAGAUCCGAGUGAAGGAUUGUCCGGUGCAUUUGGAGUUGGCAAAUGGACUGUGGCGUUCGCGCAGUGUAGCUUCCCUUGCCUUUAACCCCUUUUGUUUCUUUUCUUUAUUUGUAUAUCAUUUUGUCUGAAUAUUUGUAUAUUGUUUAUACUUUUAGGAGCUGAG